UACGAAGGGGGCUAGCGUUGCUCGGAAUCACUGGGCGUAAAGGGUGCGUAGGUGGCGCCAUAAGUCAGGUGUGAAAUCUCGGGGCUUAACUCCGAAACUGCAUUUGAUACUGUGGUGCUUGAGGACUGGAGAGGAGACUGGAAUUCACGGUGUAGCAGUGAAAUGCGUAGAUAUCGUGAGGAAGACCAGUGGCGAAGGCGGGUCUCUGGACAGUUCCUGACACUGAG
rnacentral:rRNA from 1 species